rnacentral:rRNA from 1 species
UACGUAGGGUCCGAGCGUUGUCCGGAAUUACUGGGCGUAAAGAGCUCGUAGGCGGCCUGUCGCGUCGGCUGUGAAAACUCAGGGCUCAACCCUGAGCCUGCAGUCGAUACGGGCAGGCUAGAGUCCGGCAGGGGAGACUGGAAUUCCUGGUGUAGCGGUGAAAUGCGCAGAUAUCAGGAGGAACACCGGUGGCGAAGGCGGGUCUCUGGGCAGUAACUGACGCUGAGGAGCGAAAGCGUGGGGAGCGAACAGG